rnacentral:lncRNA from 1 species
GCAGUGGCGGAUCCACAGAGGCGCAAGGAGGUGCAGCUGCACCUCCCCUUGCCGGAAAUCCAGGGAAGAAGCUGGAAACUGCCCCUCUGCUGGUGUGCCUGCCAUGUGCUCGUCAUAUCCCUCUGCUGCCCACCGCGUUUUUGACUAAAUGUCUCAAAGAUUGAGAUAAACGGAGAGAUAGAGAAAACCCAUAAAGAUUAUGAAUUGGAAUUUAAGUUUUUCGGAUGUGGUUUCUUGUGUGUUUUGACUCAAAGCUACGUCAAGGAAUUUUUGUUCUUGAAAUUUGUAGAGGUGACACUGCGCCUCGCGAAGAAGACGAUGCCUGGGUGUUGGUGACCUAAUAAACUCUACGCACCGUUUUGUCUAUAGCCUCCUUUGAUUUAAACGGUUUGUUUAGUGUUUGAUUGUACAACCUCUCAGCUUGGUUUUAUGAUAAUGACUAGAUUUUAAAAUAAAAAAAUUCCUAUUGGCCAAUACAAUAGAAAUACAAAACCCUUUAAACACGUACCAG